UAGCCGUAAACGAUGCUCACUAGGUGUAGGGAGUGAUAAACUCUCUGUGCUGAAGCGAACGCGCUAAGUGAGCCGCCUGGGGAGUACGUCCGCAAGGAUGAAACUCAAAGGAAUUGGCGGGGGAGCACCACAACGGGUGGAGCCUGCGGUUUAAUUGGACUCAACGCCGGGAAGCUCACCGGAUAAGACAGCGGAAUGAUUGCCGGGCUGAAGACCCUGCAUGACCAGCUGAGAGGUGGUGCAUGGCGUAGUCGUGU
rnacentral:rRNA from 1 species